UGCCAGCCGCCGCGGUAAUACGGAGGGUGUAAGCGUUAAUCGGAAUUACUGGGCGUAAAGCGCGCGUAGGCGGUUAUGUAAGUCGGAUGUGAAAGCCCUGGGCUUAACCUGGGAAUUGCACUCGAUACUGCCUGGCUAGAGUAUGGGAGAGGGAAGUGGAAUUUCCGGUGUAGCGGUGAAAUGCGUAGAUAUCGGAAGGAACACCAGUGGCGAAGGCGACUUCCUGGCCCAAUACUGACGCUCAGGUGCGAAAGCGUGGGUAGCGAACAGGAUUAGAUA
rnacentral:rRNA from 1 species